GGAGAGGUGGCUGAGUGGUCGAAAGCGACGGUCUUGAAAACCGCUGAGCUCUAACGGGCUCCGGGGGUUCGAAUCCCUCCCUCUCCGCCA
rnacentral:tRNA from 1 species